GUAUUGGUGGUUCAGCAGUAGAAUGCUCACCUUCCGUGUGGGAGACCUGGGUUCAAUUCUCAGUCAAUGCA
rnacentral:tRNA from 1 species